rnacentral:sRNA from 1 species
GUGUGAAGGGGCCCGAAGGCCUGGCUUGUCCUCAAAUAGCUCUGCAAGUUAAAAGAUACAAUAUUUAUUUCCUUCAGACUAGAAACCUGUACCCUCCACAGGUUCCCGCGCACACGGCUAGAGCACCGACAUGGGUGGUUAGAUGUCAGACUUUCUCAGGACCAUCUAUGCCAUUUCAAAAAGUCCUUAAGAUCACGGGACUGCCUCCAUCUGCCGUGGUGUCCAUGUGGCUAAAGAGCCGCUGGCAAGUGUCAUUGGUUUUCUAUAGAAUGGCGAACUCACUGAGACACAGCUGUGACUAGAACCCAUUCCUCUUUCCAUCACAACUGAUGAUCAGGAAAAAAUUGUGGUUCUGAGCAGAGGAGGGAAGCAUGAGGACACUUAGACAUCCGGUGGAGAUGGAGAUGGUCUCACGACCCGAGUGUCUUUGCCCCUAACCAAGAAGCUGUUUGCAGUUGACACCUGAAGGGAAGAAGCACAUCAGUCUUCUCUGGAGGAGCGCCAUUGAGCCUAUCAACCGCACUCAAGCACAGGCCCCAUGCCCAAGAGUAGUAGACCGACAUAAAGUGAGCCCAUCUUUUUUUGCCUGCCCACUAAAGAUAGACUGACCCAGCAGAUUCAAGACUGGAUCAAGACCUGUCUCGAAACAGUUGUGGGCCAAUUCAAUCAUCCUGUCUUCAAACUGACCAGCCCUAAUGUAGUGGAUGAAAAACUCUCUAGGGGCAAUAGAACCCCAGCCCUGAGGAAGAGACCAGACUUCCCGAGUGCCCCCUCAACUUUGCAGAGGGUCUUUUUUUCUGUGUGUCUGUUACGUGUGCAUUGUUUCCCCACAUCCAAUAAAUGCCUUCCUUCAACUGCUGAUCCUGUCUGCUGUGCUUGAGAUCUCUCCGCUGCGAUUCCAUGCACUUCAGGUGUUUCCUGCUGCUUAAUUCUUUAACUGGCAGAGAAAACAAACCCCAUCCAGACCCCUAGACUAUAACAGGUUCUUCAUUUAAAUGUUGUAUUGCUUCCUAUCUAUCUGUCUGCCUGUCUG